UACGUAGGGUGCAAGCGUUGUCCGGAUUUAUUGGGCGUAAAGAGCCUCGUAGGCGGUCUGUCGCGUCGGAUGUGAAAACCCAGGGCUCAACCCUGGGCCUGCAUUCGAUACGGGCAGACUAGAGUACGGCAGGGGAGACUGGAAUUCCUGGUGUAGCGGUGAAAUGCGCAGAUAUCAGGAGGAACACCGGUGGCGAAGGCGGGUCUCUGGGCCGUAACUGACGCUGAGGAGCGAAAGCGUGGGGAGCGAACAGG
rnacentral:rRNA from 1 species